rnacentral:rRNA from 1 species
UGGCUCAGGAUGAACGCUAGCGGCAGGCUAACACAUGCAAGUCGAGGGGCAUCGGGAGUAGCAAUACUGCCGGCGACCGGCGCAAGGGUGCGUAACGCGUGAGCAACAUGCCCGUAUCAGGGGGAUAAUCCAUGGAAACGUGGUCUAAUACCCCAUAGUAAUUAUGUAAGGCAUCUUAUAUAAUUUAAAGCUUUGGUGGAUACGGAUUGGCUCGCGUGACAUUAGCUAGAUGGUAAGGUAACGGCUUACCAUGGCUACGAUGUCUAGGGGUUCUGAGAGGAAGGUCCCCCCACACUGGAACUGAGACACGGUCCAGACUCCUACGGGAGGCAGCAGUGAGGAAUAUUGGACAAUGGAUGGAAAUCUGAUCCAGCCAUGCCGCGUGCAGGAAGAACCGGCCCUAUGGGUUGUAAACUGCUUUUGUAUGGGAGCAAUAAGGGCUACGCGUAGUCCGAUGAGAGUACCAUACGAAUAAGCACCGGCUAACUCCGUGCCAGCAGCAGC